rnacentral:misc_RNA from 1 species
UUUUUCACUCGCUUACAAGAAAAAAUACAUAUUUUGAUUGAUUGAAUUGAGUUUUUCAGAAAUACUUUCUAUUUCGGUGCAGUUUAACUAUAAAGAGUACACAGUGGGUUGAAUAACUGAAACAAUGCUGUGGAAAAUUUCUCUCUAUUAGAAUAUCCAUUUAAAGUUUUUGAUGACAUGUUUUUUCAUUUUUUUUAAAAAUAUACUUACAUGGUUUGGUUGUAAAAAUUCUAUAAAAUAGGUCUACGGAUAUGCUAAGCUGUGUUCUUAAUUGUUGAUUUCGUUGUAUUAAUCUUUGUAACGUCAGUUGUGUUUUGUGUCUCACGCGAUCAUAAACAUGACGUCACAUUCCGUUUAUUUUCUUCAUCUUAAUAUAUGUACCUGUUAAUUGUGACAUUCAUAUAAAAUGUAUAAUUUUCAUACGUAAACAUAUUUAUUGAUAUUUCCAUGCUUACAUAAAGAUUCAAAAUAAAACGUUCAACGAC